rnacentral:rRNA from 1 species
GACGAACCGUGCGAACGUUAUUCGGAAUCACUGGGCUUAAAGCGCGUGUAGGCGGGACGGCACGUCCGACGUUGAAAUCCCCCGGCUCAACCGGGGAACGGGCGCGGAUACGACCGUCCUCGAGGAACGUAGGGGGACCUGGAACUUCCGGUGGAGCGGUGAAAUGCGUUGAGAUCGGAAGGAACGCCCGUGGCGAAAGCGAGGUCCUGGACGUUUACUGACGCUGAGACGCGAAAGCCAGGGGAGCAAACGGG